UACGUAGGGCGCAAGCGUUGUCCGGAAAUAUUGGGCGUAAAGAGCUCGUAGGUGGUUUGUCGCGUUGUUCGUGAAAACUCACAGCUCAACUGUGGGCGUGCGGGCGAUACGGGCAGACUGGAGUACUGCAGGGGAGACUGGAAUUCCUGGUGUAGCGGUGGAAUGCGCAGAUAUCAGGAGGAACACCGGUGGCGAAGGCGGGUCUCUGGGCAGUAACUGACGCUGAGGAGCGAAAGCGUGGGGAGCGAACAGG
rnacentral:rRNA from 1 species